UAAAACGUAAUAAAAAAAACUAAGUGAUUAAUAGUUAAGUUCUUUAAAGCUAAAUGAUUUGGCGGUGUUUUAAUCUAUUCAGAGGAACCUGUUCUAUAAUUGAUACUCCACAAUAGAAUUAACUUUAAUUAGAAAUUUUUAUAUCGUCGUUAUUAAAUAUUUUAUAAGAAUAAAUAUUUAAAAUUUCUUUAAAAAGAAGAAAAUCAGAUCAAGGUAAAGUUUAUAUUAAAGAAGAAAUGGGUUACAAUUUAUUUAAUUAUUGGAUAUAAAAUUUGAAGGAUUUUUUGAAAUUGGAUUUGAAAGUAAUUAAUUAUACUUUUUUUUAAUGAUUAAGCUCUAAAAUAUGU
rnacentral:rRNA from 1 species